rnacentral:rRNA from 1 species
UACAGAGGGGGCAAGCGUUGUUCGGAAUUACUGGGCGUAAAGGGCGCGUAGGCGGCCGCCUAAGUCAGACGUGAAAUCCCUCGGCUCAACCGGGGAACUGCGUCUGAUACUGGGUGGCUUGAAUCCGGGAGAGGGAUGCGGAAUUCCAGGUGUAGCGGUGAAAUGCGCAGAUAUCAGGAGGAACACCGGUGGCGAAGGCGGCUUGCUGGGCCUUACCUGACGCUGAGGAGCGAAAGCGUGGGGAGCGAACAGG